rnacentral:rRNA from 1 species
GACGAACGCUGGCGGUGUGCUUCACACAUGCAAGUCGAACGAGGUAGCAAUACCUAGUGGCGGACGGGUGAGUAACGCGUGGGAAUCUGCCUUUAGAUGGGGGAUAACGGGUCGAAAGACUCGCUAAUACCGCAUAUGACGAAAGUUGAAAGGAGUAAUCCGUCUAAAGAUGAGCCCGCGUCCGAUUAGCUAGUUGGUAGAGUAAAAGCCUACCAAGGCGACGAUCGGUAGCUGGUCUAAGAGGAUGAUCAGCCACAAUGGGACUAGAGACACGGCCCAUACUCCUACGGAGGCAGCAGUGGGAAUUUACGCAAUGGCGAAAGCCUGACGUAGCGACACCGCGUGAGCGAAGAAGCCCUGGGUGUAAAGCUCUGUCAGCUGG